AUCAGUGUCUUGUCUCACUCUUCUGGUGUGCAAAUGAAGCUUGUCCAAUAUGUGUUACCCCAGAAAGAAUUAAGAUAAUUGAAGUCAGAGUAUCUGAACUUGGAUCACUUGCAAGUAAGGAUGAUCUGCAUGCACAUGUUCUGUUAAGAUAAUGGUGAACAGAUCCAGAUGAUUCCUGAUUUAAAGCUAUAGAUGAGGGAGUAAUCCUGAUUCCCAUAUUAAAAGGAGGGGAAUUUCAUGACGGGGAGAAGACUGAGAAUGUGUGUAACCUUUCUGCUCUGAGACUGGGAGUACUGAAGAAUGAAUAUGUGAGACAGACAGGAACAGGAAGAGCCGAAAGCCUGAGGGACCUUUGACCAUUCAGAGAGCAUUCAGUGUAGGUUGCUUGUCUGAAAUCUGUUCUGAAGCUUCAUUGCAAAGCAAGCACGGCACUAAUGAUGGAUGCGAGCGGACGUCUUAAGGGUAACUGGAUACGGCAUCUUCGGAAACGGUGGUGUUUUGGUGGGUGGAAGAGAUAAUCCAGCCUGCCAAGUGCUAUGCACUCGUUCCAGUGCCAAAAUACGAAACGCACACCAACAGCUUUAAUGUAAGGGGCAUACUAGGUUCCUCCAGCUGCACUGAACGAUUAUGUGUGCUAGGUGGAUGAAUAUAAGCUUAGCUAUCUGCUUCAAUCGAUUUACAGCACCCGCUGUGAGGGAGCCCUGCUCCACGACUUGGCUACCAGGUACUGGGAUCAUACGAGAGGUAAUCGUGCCUGCUGCUAAACAUUUUCUACCUUAUUUCCAUUUGCAUUUGUCUGACUUCAGCUUCCAGUCAUUGGUUCUUGUUAUGCCUUUCUCUGAUAGAUUAAAGAGCUCUUUAGUAGUUGCUAUUUUCUCUCCAGGAAGGUUCUUUUACACUGUAAUCAGUUUAUUUCUCAAACUAUUUUUUUUUUCUUUCUUAAAGCUAAAGGUUUGUAUGAUGUUCGUUAUAUUUUCUUUUCCACAUCCCUGGAUUAUUUUUUGUGUCUCUUUCCUAUUCCUUCUCUAA
rnacentral:lncRNA from 1 species